rnacentral:rRNA from 1 species
UACGUAGGGGGCAAGCGUUGUCCGGAAUCAUUGGGCGUAAAGAGCGUGUAGGCGGCCUGGUAAGUCCGCUGUGAAAGUCCAGGGCUCAACCCUGGAAUGCCGGUGGAAACUGUCAGGCUCGAGUCCGGAAGAGGCGAGUGGAAUUCUCGGUGUAGCGGUGAAAUGCGUAGAUAUCGAGAGGAACACCUGCGGCGAAGGCGGGUUGCUGGGCCGACACUGACGCUGAUGCGCGAAAGCCAGGGGAGCGAACGGG